rnacentral:misc_RNA from 1 species
GUUGCUGUGAUAAUAAUCGGAUUUUCUGCAGACAUUGGAUAUAUGUUAGGGGAUACAGAGGAGCAUUGUAGUACAUUCAAAGGCACUCGAACAAGGGCAGCUGUUGUUUUUGUCAUUGGGUUCUGGUUGCUAGAUCUUGCUAACAAUACAGUGCAGGGACCAGCACGUGCCCUUCUGGCUGAUUUAUCAGGUCCUGAUCAACGUAAUUCUGCAAAUGCUGUAUUUUGCUCAUGGAUGGCUGUUGGAAAUAUUUUAGGAUUUUCUGCUGGUGCUAGCGGGAGUUGGAACAGGUGGUUUCCUUCCUUGAUGAGCAGAGCCUGUUGUGAAGCUUGUGGAAAUCUGAAAGCUGCAUUUCUUGUUGCAGUGGUAUUCCUCACUCUGUGCACUCUUGUAACUCUAUAUUUUGCAAAGGAGGUUCCAAUUAUCGCAAGUCAGUCCCACCGUUUAUCAGAUUCAGCACCAUUAUUGGAUGAUCCUCAACAAAAUGGCCUUGAACUUUCAAAAUCUAAGUCUGACUUGUCAAUUCUCAGUAAUUCUAACAAGAACAACAUUAACAAGGGCAUUGAACAGAAUGCGAGUCCAAAGCAUGGCAUUGCCAACUCCAUUGAGGAUCAAAAUGAAAGUUUAGAUGAUGAACCUGGAGCAGUAUUGGUUAAUUUGUUGACUAGUUUAAGGCAUUUACCUCCUGGAAUGCAUUCUGUGCUUGCUGUUAUGGCUCUUACCUGGUUGUCCUGGUUCCCUUUCUUUCUAUUUGAUACGGAUUGGAUGGGUAGAGAAGUUUAUCAUGGAGAUCCAAAAGG